rnacentral:rRNA from 1 species
UGCAGUCGAACGAUGAUGCCCAGCUUGCUGGGCGGAUUAGUGGCGAACGGGUGAGUAAUACGUGAGUAACCUGCCCUUGACUCUGGGAUAAGCCUGGGAAACUGGGUCUAAUACUGGAUACUACCUCUUACCGCAUGGUGGGUGGUGGAAAGGGUUUUACUGGUUUUGGAUGGGCUCACGGCCUAUCAGCUUGUUGGUGGGGUAAUGGCUCACCAAGGCGACGACGGGUAGCCGGCCUGAGAGGGUGACCGGCCACACUGGGACUGAGACACGGCCCAGACUCCUACGGGAGGCAGCAGUGGGGAAUAUUGCACAAUGGGCGGAAGCCUGAUGCAGCGACGCCGCGUGAGGGAUGACGGCCUUCGGGUUGUAAACCUCUUUCAGUAGGGAAGAAGCGAGAGUGACGGUACCUGCAGAAGAAGCGCCGGCUAACUACGUGCCAGCAGCCGCGGUAAUACGUAGGGCGCAAGCGUUGUCCGGAAUUAUUGGGCGUAAAGAGCUCGUAGGCGGUUUGUCGCGUCUGCUGUGAAAGCCCGGGGCUCAACCCCGGGUCUGCAGUGGGUACGGGCAGACUAGAGUGCAGUAGGGGAGACUGGAAUUCCUGGUGUAGCGGUGAAAUGCGCAGAUAUCAGGAGGAACACCGAUGGCGAAGGCAGGUCUCUGGGCUGUUACUGACGCUGAGGAGCGAAAGCAUGGGGAGCGAACAGGAUUAGAUACCCUGGUAGUCCAUGCCGUAAACGUUGGGCACU